rnacentral:tRNA from 1 species
GGGUGUAGCUCAGUGGUAGAGCACAUGGUUAGCAUACACGAGGCUUGGGUUCUAUCCCCAGUACCUCCA